AUUGAACGCUGUCGGCAGGCCUAACACAUGCAAGUCGAACGAGUUGCGGACGGGUGAGUAAUGUCUGGGAAACUGCCUGAUGGAGGGGGAUAACUACUGGAAACGGUAGCUAAUACCGCCUACCAUCAGCUGUGCCCAGAUGGGAUUGGCUAGUUGGUGGGGUAACGGCUCACCAAGGCGACGAUCCCUAGCUGGGUUGAGAGGAUGACCAGCCACAAUGGAACUGGGACACGGUCCAGACUCCUACGUGAGGCAGCAGUGGGGAAUAUUGCACAAUGGGCGCAAGCCUGAUGCAGCCAUGCCGCGUGUAUGAAGAAGGCCUUCGGGUUGUAAAGUACUUUCAGCGGGGAGGAGUUACCCGAAGAAGAAGAACCGGCUAACUCCGUGCCAGAAGCAGCGGUAAGUC
rnacentral:rRNA from 1 species